UUAUAUCAAGCAAAGGUGCAAGAUUAGUGGUCUAAAGACAUGUUAAGUUGCUGAAGUUUUUACCAUUUUAUUUUUCAUGUUUUCCUCCUUCCCUUAGAACAUUACUAGAUGGGAAACAAAAGCGAUGGAGAAAUCAAAAAGUUGGGGAUACAUGGGAAUCAGUGUAAGAGACAGGUGCUGCAGCCCAGCCCAGCCCAGCCCUCCACAGAUCCAGUUCCUACACAUUCCAGUGGAUGCUACAGCAUAGCCCGGCUAUCUGCUCAGCCCGCAAGUGCUGCAGUCCCACAGAGGUGAGACUACAAAUCCCUUACACAAUCUGCCCCCAGAGCUGGAUCUCUUGUGUUGUGGUGGGUGUUGUAGCUAUCUGUCAUGGCCUAGCAUGCUUCUUUCUUCUUAUUUUCCAGGGUACUGUCGCUGGGUUGAUAUGUCUAAGGCCAUGGGUGAGCCAACAGCUCCUAGUUUCCCUUUAUUUAAA